UCCGGUUGAUCCUGCCAGAGGCCGCUGCUAUCCGGCUGGGACUAAGCCAUGCUAGUCUAGGGGCUUGUACCCCUUCGGGGGUGCAAGCACCGGCGGACGGCUCAGUAACACGUGGACAACCUGCCCUCGGGUGGGGGAUAACCCCGGGAAACUGGGGCUAAUCCCCCAUAGGUGAUGGGUGCUGGAAUGCCCCAUCUCCGAAAGCGCUCAGCGCCCGAGGAUGGGUCUGCGGCGGAUUAGGUAGUUGGUGGGGUAACGGCCCACCAAGCCUAAGAUCCGUACGGGCUGUGGGAGCAGGAGCCCGGAGAUGGACCCUGAGACAAGGGUCCAGGCCCUACGGGGCGCAGCAGGCGCGAAACCUCCGCAAUGCGGGAAACCGCGACGGGGUUAGCCGGAGUGCCCGUGCAUUGCACGGGCUGUCGGGGUGCCUAAACAGCACCCCAUAGCAAGGGCCGGGCAAGGCCGGUGGCAGCCGCCGCGGUAAGACCGGCGGCCCGAGUGGCGGCCACUCUUAUUGGGCCUAAAGCGUCUGUAGCCGGCCCAGUAAGUCCCCCGGGAAAUCUGGUCGCUUAACGAUCAGACUUCCGGGGGAUACUGCUGGGCUAGGGACCGGGAGAGGCCGAGGGUAUUCCCGGGGUAGGGGUGAAAUCCUGUAAUCCCGGGAGGA
rnacentral:rRNA from 1 species